UAGUAAUCGCGAAUCAGAAUGUCGCGGUGAAUACGUUCCCGGGCCUUGUACACACCGCCCGUCACACCAUGAGAGCUGGUAACACCCGAAGUCCGUGAGGUAACCGUAAGGAACCAGCGGCCGAAGGUGGGAUUAGUGAUUGGGGUGAAGUCGUAACAAGGUAGCCGUAGGAGAACCUGCGGCUGGAUCACCUCCUUUCUAAGGAGA
rnacentral:rRNA from 1 species